UAAGCAUAUCAAUAAGCGGAGGAAAAGAAACCAACAGGGAUUGCCCUAGUAACGGCGAGUGAAGCGGCAACAGCUCAAAUUUGAAAUCUGGCCUCGGCCCGAGUUGUAAUUUGCAGAGGAUGUUUCUGGCGCGGUGCCUUCCGAGUUCCCUGGAACGGGACGCCACAGAGGGUGAGAGCCCCGUAUGGUUGGACACCAAGCCUGUGUGAAACUCCUUCGACGAGUCGAGUAGUUUGGGAAUGCUGCUCAAAAUGGGAGGUAAAUCUCUUCUAAAGCUAAAUACCGGCCAGAGACCGAUAGCGCACAAGUAGAGUGAUCGAAAGAUGAAAAGCACCUUGAAAAGGGGGUUAAACAGUACGUGAAAUUGUUGAAAGGGAAGCGCUUGUGACCAGACUUGCGCCGGGCGGUUCAUCCGGGGUUCUCCCCGGUGCACUCCGCCCGGCUCAGGCCAGCAUCGGUUCUCGUUGGGGGAUAAGAACGACAGGAACGUGGCCCUCCUUCGGGUGGGUGUUAUAGCCUGUCGUACGAUACCCUGACGGGGACCGAGGUUCGCGCUCCGCAAGGAUGCUGGCGUAAUGGUCAUCAGCGACCCGUCUUGAAACACGGACCAAGGAGUCGUCCAUUAGAGCGAGCGUUUGGGUGUCAAACCCGCACGCGUAAUGAAAGUGAAAUUAGGUGAGAGCUUCGGCGCAUCAUCGACCGAUCCUGAUGUUCUCGGAUGGAUUUGAGUAAGAGUUUUAACGGACGGACCCGAAAGACAGUGAACUAUGCUUGUAUAGGGUGAAGCCAGAGGAAACUCUGGUGGAGGCUCGCAGCGGUUCUGACGUGCAAAUCGAUCGUCAAAUAUGAGCAUGGGGGCGAAAGACUAAUCGAACUGUCUAGUAGCUGGUUACCGCCGAA
rnacentral:rRNA from 1 species